CCUACGGGAGGCAGCAGUGGGGAAUAUUGCACAAUGGGGGAAACCCUGAUGCAGCGACGCCGCGUGAGUGAAGAAGUAUUUCGGUAUGUAAAGCUCUAUCAGCAGGGAAGAAAAUGACGGUACUGAUUAAGAAGCCCCGGCUAACUACGUGCACGCAGCCGCGGUAAUACGGAGGGGGCAAGCGUUAUCCGGAUGUACUGGGUGUAAAGGGAGCGUAGACGGCAGCGCAAGUCUGGAGUGAAAUGCAGGGGCCCAACCCCGGAACUGCUCUGGAAACUGUGAAGCUGGAGUGCAGGAGAGGUAAGCGGAAUGCCUGGUGUAGCGGUGAAAUGCGUAGAGAUCAGGAGGAACACCGGCGGCGAAGGCGGCUUACUGGACUGUAACUGACGUUGAGGCUCGAAGGCGUGGGGAGCAAACAGGAUUAGAUACCCUUGUAGUC
rnacentral:rRNA from 1 species